AAAUUCUUCAAUCACCCCUGCCUGCAAAUCAUAAGCAAAAACAAUAACAAUUACAGGAGAAGUCAGCCAUAAUAUAAAUACAAUUACCAAAAAUUUCUUUAGUUAAAGUGAAGAAAUGGCAACUAAAGCAACAUGCAUGCAUAGAAAGCAAGCAUAAACACAUUCCGAGACCAUAAUAUACUGAAGAAAGAAUAAUCUACUUUCCUACUGUCUUUAAACUACAACAUGCGAGUUCCAACAUAAAAAAUAAUAAUAAUAACAGA
rnacentral:misc_RNA from 1 species